rnacentral:ncRNA from 1 species
GGUUAAGUGACUAAGCGUAUACGGUGGAUGCCUUGGCAGUCAGAGGCGAUGAAGGACGUAGUAACUUGCGAAAAGCGUUGGCGAGCUAGUAACAAGCAUUUGAGCUAACGAUGUCCGAAUGGGGAAACCCACUCACAUAAGUGAGUAUCAUAUACUGAAUACAUAGGUAUAUGAGGCAAACCCGGGGAACUGAAACAUCUAAGUACCCGGAGGAACAGAAAUCAACCGAGAUUCCCCUAGUAGCGGCGAGCGAACGGGGAUUAGCCCUUAAGUCUAUGGGGUGUUAGUGGAAUGAGUUGGAAAGCUCAGCGGCACAGGGUGAUAGCCCCGUACAUGAAAACUAACCAUAGAUGAAAACGAGUAGGACGGGACACGUGACAUCUUGUCUGAACAUGGGGGGACCAUCCUCCAAGGCUAAAUACUCCUGACUGACCGAUAGUGAACCAGUACCGUGAGGGAAAGGCGAAAAGAACCCCUGUGAGGGGAGUGAAAUAGAACCUGAAACCGUAUACGUACAAGCAGUGGGAGCGGUUCCAUUCUUCGGAAUAAGAGACCGUGACUGCGUACCUUUUGUAUAAUGGGUCAGCGACUUACAUUUUGUAGCGAGGUUAAGCGAAUAGCGGAGCCGUAGGGAAACCGAGUGUUAACUGCGCGUAUCUUUAGUUAGAGAAGUUGCAAGGUGUAGACCCGAAACCCGGUGAUCUAUCCAUGGGCAGGUUGAAGGUUGAGUAACAUCAACUGGAGGACCGAACCGACUUAUGUUGAAAAAUGAGCGGAUGACUUGUGGAUGGGGGUGAAAGGCCAAUCAAACCGGGAGAUAUCUGGUUCUCCUCGAAAGCUAUUUAGGUAGCGCCUCGAGCGAAUACCAUUGGGGGUAGAGCACUGUUAAGGCUAGGGGGUCAUCCCGACUUACCAACCCUUUGCAAACUCCGAAUACCAAUGAGUACUACUCGGGAGACACACGGCGGGUGCUAACGUCCGUCGUGGAAAGGGAAACAACCCAGACCAUCAGCUAAGGUCCCAAAGUUAUUGCUAAGUGGGAAACGAUGUGGGAAGGCUUAGACAGCUAGGAUGUUGGCUUAGAAGCAGCCAUCAUUUAAAGAAAGCGUAAUAGCUCACUAGUCGAGUCGGCCUGCGCGGAAGAUUUAACGGGGCUAAGCAAUACACCGAAGCUAUGGGUUUGCUAGUUUACUGGCAAGCGGUAGAGGAGCGUUCUGUAAGCCGUUGAAGGCGAAGGGGUAACCCACGCUGGAGGUAUCAGAAGUGCGAAUGCUGACAUGAGUAACGAUAAAGGGAGUGAAAAACUCCCUCGCCGAAAGACCAAGGUUUCCUGUCCAAUGUUAAUCAGGGCAGGGUAAGUCGACCCCUAAGGUGAGGCCGAAAGGCGUAAUCGAUGGGAAACAGGUUAAUAUUCCUGUACUUCUGCUAACUGCGAUGGAGAGACGGAGAAGGCUAGGCUAGCGCGGCGUUGGUUGUCCGCGUUUAAGGUUGUAGGUUGUAUUCUUAGGCAAAUCCGGGGAUACGCAUUAAAUUGCAAGACUGAGGACUGAUGACGAGACCCUAAGGGGUUGAAGUAGUUGAUGCCAUGCUUCCAGGAAAAUCUUCUAAGCUUCAGGUUAGUAGGAAUCGUACCCCAAACCGACACAGGUGGUUGGGUAGAGAAUACCAAGGCGCUUGAGAGAACUCGGCUGAAGGAACUAGGCAAAAUGGU